GCUGCCAGCGGCCAUGAUCAUCCUGCCUCUUAAUGCACCUCACAAAUAACUCUAGUCUACCUUUCCCUUUCCCGCAGGCCUCCUCUUCCAGCAGCCUCUAUCUUUAUUCUACAGGAUCCAGAGAAUCACCCGCUGAUGGUUUUUGCCCAGGCCUGAAACAACCAGAGAGCUACGGGAAAGGAAGGGCUUGGCUUGCCAGAGGAAUUUUCCAAGUGCUCAAACGCCAGGCUUACGGCGCCUGUGAUCCGUCCAGGAGGACAAAGUGGGAUUUGAAGAUCCACUCCACUUCUGCUCAUGGCGGGCCAGGGCCUGCCCCUGCACGUGGCCACACUGCUGACUGGGCUGCUGGAAUGCCUGGGCUUUGCUGGCGUCCUCUUUGGCUGGCCUUCACUAGUGUUUGUCUUCAAGAAUGAAGAUUACUUUAAGGAUCUGUGUGGACCAGAUGCUGGGCCGAUUGGCAAUGCCACAGGGCAGGCUGAUUUUUCUACACCACCGCCACACUCAUCAUAGCCUUCACCUCUGCAGCUUCUUUAUGAAAAAGGCAUCAGCCUCAGGGCCUCCUUCAUCUUCAUCUCUGUCUGCAGUACCUGGCAUGUAGCA
rnacentral:lncRNA from 1 species